rnacentral:lncRNA from 1 species
UGACUUGAACUUUCAUAAAGUCAUAGAGCACAUCUAUCAUUAUUGGCCUACUUCUCAGAGUUGCAGGAGUUUGGGUAAUUCUGAAUAUUGUUAAAUUAAACAGGCAGAAGACAAGAAAAAAAUGUUUAUUUCAUAUCUACUAAAUUAUUAUGGCUACUUAAACAAUUCGUGUAUCAAGCAGACAAGUAGAUUGAAGCUCCUUUUUGUUGUAUUGAACAAUCUAAUCAUGUAGAUUUUCCCAUUCAAAACCAUGUAAUGACAUCAGUGGGCCUAAAGACUGGCCCAAUCACAAUGUGCCCAGGUUUCAUAUAGGACUGAGAGUCCUUGGUCAUUAAGGCCUACCAACUGGGCCAUCUUGUCGCCAGGUCCAUAUUGAAAAACAUAAGGAAUUGUAACUUUUCAGAGUUUAGUCAUUUAACAAACAACAUCACUACUAAUCAUGCCAAAAACAUUCGUCUCCUAUAUAUGAUUUCAACAAGUAGUUUACUGAAAAUGUGUCCAUAUAAAUGAUUAAUAUACAAAAUGAUUGAUCCAAACACAACUAAUUAACUUUACAAAUUAACCUAUAAACUAUGAAUCUAUGUAUAUCCACCAGUGAUUUCCUCAAUGUGGAAUGGAAAUGCAGAAAAUUGUUGUUGCUAGGUCCUAUUAACUAGGAUUCCUCAUACGUGAAAUCAAAUAUUUGAUAAUCAGAUGCGUGAACAUAACAUGUUUAGCAUGAAAACUCAUACUUCAACCAUCAAUUUUCGAAUAGGCAAAAACAUCAACAAAAUAAAUCACAUUAGUAAGCAAUGCCUAAUAGGAUCACAUGCUUUAACCUAAGCAUAUUGUUUGCAUCAGAGAUAAACAUAGAAGAAUAUUCAAACAAAUUCAACAUAAAAGAAGAUUCAAACAAAUUUGGCCAUUAAAUAUGCUAGAUCUAUAGAAUUAGGCAGUAAACAACUUUAAUUUUACUCCCGAUUUCAAUUUAAAACUACAGAGGUGUUUGAACAUACCUACACAGUAGCAAACAAGUCUCAAAAUGACCAAAUAAAGGUUGAGAACAUCUACAACUGAAAUUCAGCUACUAGUUGAUAGAGAACAACAACAAACAACCAGUAAUCAAAGCUGGAUCCACUUCGAAACCCAGAAAUGCAAGAGAGAAUACAACAAUCGAAAAAGCUACAACUUAUGAACUGUUUUGGGUGCAAAGCUAACCUAGAAUUCCACUGUCAUACUCAUUCUUUUCAGAUUGUUUUAGUUUUCAGAUCUAAUAUUGUUUUUUUGAAGUUUUUGUGAGUAAAAUCUCAAUGAAAAUGUAGAAGGAAUAUGUGUAAAAAAUAUAUAGUGUAUCUGAUCAGAGAGUCUAAAAAUCUGUGUGAGAGUCAGUGCAUUUAUAAUAGAAUUUAGGGCAACAACUAGAUUUUUCUAAUUCAUUUUCACCCUUUAAACUUUCUAUUAUUUACCCUUAGAUCCCAAAUUCUGAGUUGAUUCUAUUUUUCUUUUGCAAAGACAACCCUUUUUUCCUUUUCUUAGAAGCUUAUUUUCUAACUAACUAAGAUUUUCUAAACCAAUUCCCUACAUUUCCCUUAGCUACUUCAGCAUUUACCCCUCUUCCAGAUUUUACCUCUUCUCUUGUAUUCAAUUCUCAAUCUCAUUUAAAUCAAACUCUUAAUGGGCCUGUAAUACGGAAUGAGCUAAUUUUGAAAGACCUGGGCUUAUUCCACUAAUACAAACUCAAAAACCAGGCUUGGCCUAAACCAAAUCAAAGCCUACUGCCACUUCUUGCCUAAAUACCAUUACACAAAAGUGGCAAAUACCUAAAUGAUCCACAAAUAAAAAUACUACUCGAUUAAGCAUAAAUUAAACUCUCAAGUAAUUAAACACCACUGAAUCAUCGAGCUUAUAACAAUAAUAUCCAAUUACCCAUAUAGUAUCUAAAAACUCUUCAUAGAAAUGAAAACAUGAUAACUAAACAAGGAAUUUGCAAUUAAAACAACCACUGAACCUAAAGUGACUAAACAAUUAAAUGUGCAAUUCACAGAAAGAUACAAGGGAGAGAUAUACCUAUCGAGGUUGAACAAAUCGAUGAAAGGGAAGCCCACGAGCUGGACGAAUAGGAUGGAAUAAUUGGGGAGCAACUGACCGAUCAAUGAUGUUUCGACCGAAUUCCAAUAGCCAUGAAAUGAACCAAGACUAACAUCAAUCAAUUGCUCUCGUCAAGAGCAAUUAAUUGAUGUAGGUUUUGAGUUCAGGAGGUGGAGAAGGGGAUUGGCGUUCAGAUUGGUUGUGAGUAACAACAACCCUACUCCUCUUUGUUGAAAAUGAGGAAAUUUUAGAUCAUUUUUUCUUACCAUUCUCAUCUCCCGCCUCCGGCUUCUAUGAGAUAACAGAAAAGACCACAAAGAUUUAAUGUAUUGUCGUACAUAUUUAUAUCAUCAAUGAUAAUAAAUCACUUAACAAUAAAUGAAAUAUUUCAAGCUAUAUAUAAACUUAUAGUACAUAAAGAAAUCUUUUUCAUGGUGGAACCAACUAAAAGGCAACUAAAGGUAAUCGGAAUCUGUGUAAGAGUCAGUGUAUUUAUAACAGAAUUUUCAGGGCAAUACCUAGAUUUUUUUAAUUUAUUUCCACCCUUUAAACUUUCUGUUAUUUAUCCUUAGACCCCAAAUUCUGACUUGUUUAUAUUUUUAUUUUGCAGAGACGACCCUUUUUUUCUUUUUCUAGAAGCUUCUUUCUUAACUAACUAAGAUUCCCUAAGUCAAUUCCCUACGUUGCCCUUUACUACUACAGUAUUUACCCCUCAUCCAGAUUUUACCUCUUCUCUUACAUUCAAUUCUCAAUCUCAUUUAAAUCAAACUCAGAAUGGGCCUAUAAUAUGAAAUGGGCUAAUUUUGACAGACCUGGGCCUUGUUCCAAUAAUCCAAACUCAAAACCUGACUUGACCUAAACCAAAUCAAAGCCUAUUGCACUUCCUGCCUAAAUGCCAUUAAACAAAAGUGACAAAUACCUAAAUGAUCCACAAAUAAAAUAACUACUCGAUUAAGAAAAUUAAACUCUCAAGUAAUUAAGCACUGUUGAAUCAUCGAGCUUAUAACAAUAAUAUCCAAUUACCCACAUAGUUUCGAAAAACUCUUCAAAGAAAUGAAACAAGAUAACAAAACAAGGAAUUUGCAAUUAAAACAAACUGAACCUAAAGCGACUAAAUAGUUAAAUGCGCAAUUCACAGAAAGAUACAAGGGAGAGAUAUACCUAUCGAGGUCGAAAAAACGAUGAAAGGGAAGCCCACAAGCUGGAGGAACCUGAUGGAACAAUUGGGGAGCAACCAACCGAUCAAUGAUGUCUCGACGGAAUUCCAAUAGCCGUGAAAUGAACCAAGACUAUUAUCAAUCAAUUGCUCUCAUCAAGAGCAAUUAAUUGAUGUGGGUUUCGAGUUCAAGCGGGAGGGGGGGG